CGGGGUGUAGCGCAGUUGGUAGCGCGCAUGGUUUGGGACCAUGAGGCCCAGGGUUCGAAUCCCUGCACCCCGA
rnacentral:tRNA from 1 species